ncrna:unclassified sequences Streptococcus sRNA SpF59 (ldcC RNA)
CGACCGCCCAUUCCCCGCGCGGGGACGGGCCAAGGCCAGACGGACAGCCGGGUCGAAUGCCGA